AAAUUGAAGAGUUUGAUCAUGGCUCAGAUUGAACGCUGGCGGCAGGCCUAACACAUGCAAGUCGAACGGUAACAGGAGGCAGCUUGCUGCUUUGCUGACGAGUGGCGGACGGGUGAGUAAUGUCUGGGAAACUGCCUGAUGGAGGGGGAUAACUACUGGAAACGGUAGCUAAUACCGCAUAACGUCGCAAGACCAAAGAGGGGGACCUUCGGGCCUCUUGCCAUCGGAUGUGCCCAGAUGGGAUUAGCUAGUAGGUGGGGUAA
rnacentral:rRNA from 1 species